GUGCCAGCAGCCGCGGUAAUACGUAGGGGGCGAGCGUUGUCCGGAUUUAUUGGGCGUAAAGAGCGCGUAGGCGGCCACCCAAGUCGAUCGUGAAAGCUCGGGGCUCAACCCCGAGAUUGCGGUCGAUACUGUGUGGCUAGAGGCUGGUAGGGGGGUGUGGAAUUCCCGGUGUAGCGGUGGAAUGCGCAGAUAUCGGGAGGAACACCGGUGGCGAAGGCGGCACCCUGGGCCAGUCCUGACGCUGAGGCGCGAAAGCGUGGGGAGCAAACAGGAUUAGAUACCCUGGUAGUCC
rnacentral:rRNA from 1 species